CGCACAUUGCGCCCCUUGGUAUUCCGAGGGGCAUGCCUGUUCGAGCGUCAUUACAACCCUCAAGCACUGCUUGGUCUUGGGCUCCGCUGCUAACGCUGCGGGCCUUAAAAUCAGUGGCGGCGCCGCUGGGCUCUGAGCGUAGUAAAUUUCCUCGCUACGGAGUCCUGGCGGUGGUGGUCAUCAACCCCCCCAACUUUCUAAGUUUGACCUCGGAUCAGGUAGGGAUACCCGCUGAACUUAA
rnacentral:misc_RNA from 1 species